UACGUAGGGUGCGAGCGUUGUCCGGAAUUACUGGGCGUAAAGAGCUCGUAGGUGGUUUGUCGCGUUGUUCGUGAAAACUCACAGCUUAACUGUGGGCGUGCGGGCGAUACGGGCAGUCUGGAGUACUGCAGGGGAGACUGGAAUUCCUGGUGUAGCGGUGGAAUGCGCAGAUAUCAGGAGGAACACCGGUGGCGAAGGCGGGUCUCUGGGCAGUAACUGACGCUGAGGAGCGAAAGCGUGGGGAGCGAACAGG
rnacentral:rRNA from 1 species